UGUUUUUUUUUAUAUAUAUGUAGCGCUAAUUAGAUCAAGGCUGGAUUAUGGUAGUGUAGUAUAUGGAUCUGCAUCAAAAUUGUGCUGGGAAGAUUAGAUGUGAUCCGGGCCCAGGCCCUCACAUUGUGCAUAGGACCAGCAAGAACAUCACCUGUGUGUGCAGGAGUCGAGGCAGAAGAAAUGCUGCUGUGUUUAUGCAGGAAACAGCUCCGAGUCAACUAUUGGAUGAAUUUGAGAGGGCAUAGAGACAAUCACCCAACCAAAGUGCUACAGGCCUGCUGGAAAAGGGAGGGAACAGUAAAAUCAAGUUUUGGCUGGAGUUCGGAGUUCUGCCCGACGGUGAUGUGGCCUACAACCCUUGUGAUCAUUAUUGAAGUUUCUGACAGCAGCAAAAGAAAAGGAUUAGCCCCAUCCAAAUGCUGAUAAUGAAAACUCCUGGCUUCCUGGAUACCUGCUUGCGGCUGAUCACCGGCACACCUGCAUUCCAUUAUUCAUCAGUCUCCACCGUUCUCAUACCAGGCACCUCCACACCACUGACGACAGAUCGUUCCCGUACAUGAACACGUCGCUGCCGGUGAUCACCGCUCCAGACCACUCUACACCUUCGGCUUCACCAGUCCCCCGCCUGGUUGUCCAGCUACCAUCUCUACACUCGUCAGUCCAGAGCCGGCAACCUCGUCUCCAUUCGGAGCGCCGCCAGUCUCCCUCCCCGACCCGGUCCGGUUGAGUUUCCGAGGCGGCCGUCAACUACGUCGAACUUCUCACUACCCACCUACUUUCUGUUUAAUAAAGACUGUGGUGAACCUA